GCCGUGAGGUGUUGCCUUAAGUGGCGCAACGAGCGCAACCCCUGUCCCUAGUUGCCAGCGGGUCAUGCCGGGAACUCUAGGGAGACUGCCGGUGCCAAACCGGAGGAAGGUGGGGAUGACGUCAAGUCAUCAUGCCCCUUAAGUCCAGGGCUGCACACAUGCCACAAUGCGCGGUACAGAGGGCUGCGAUCCCGCAAGGGGGAGCGAAUCCCAAAAAGCCGCGCUCAGUUCGGAUCGGGGUCUGCAACCCGACCCCGUGAAGUCGGAGUCGCUAGUAAUCGCAGAUCAGCAACGCUGCGGUGAAUACGUUCCCGGGCCUUGUACACACCGCCCGUCACACCACGAAAGUGGGCAACACCCGAAGCCGGUGGCCCAACCCUUUGGGAGGGAGCCGUCGAAGGUGGGAUCGGCGAUUGGGACGAAGUCGUAACAAGGUAGCCGUACCGGAAGGUGCGGCUGGAUCACCUCCUUUCUAAGGAGCACCACAAGACCUGGUCCCGCCCACAUUGUGUGGGGGUUCGGUGUACCAGGCGAUUCUGUGGAUGGCCUGCACCUGUAGUGGGUGGGGGUCUGGUGCACAACAAACGCUUGGGCUGGUGGGGAAACACCGGUCGGAAAUUAAUCAUCAGACACACUAUUGGGCUUUGAGGCAACAGGCCCGCUAUCUCUUCGUCCCGUGUGUGGGAAACCGGAGAUAGGACUGGUUGUCGCCCCGAGUUUUGGUGGUGGGGUGUGGUGUUUGAUUUGUGGAUAGUGGUUGCGAGCAUCGAGCGCGCAUGGUGGUCACCACCCUUUUGGGGUGGUGGUUUUCUGUGUGUGUCUGAUGUGCAAUUUCAAAGUUUUAUAUAGCUUUUGGUUUUGUGUUGUAAGUGUUUAAGGGCGCAUGGUGGAUGCCUUGGCACUGGGAGCCGAUGAAGGACGUGGGAGGCUGCGUUAUGCCUCGGGGAGCUGUCAACCGAGCGUGGAUCCGAGGAUGU
rnacentral:sRNA from 1 species